rnacentral:lncRNA from 10 species
CUUUUGUCCCAGGAAUGGCUUCCAGGUAUUAUGCCAGAUACUGGAGCUAAAAAGAUGGACAAACAGCCUUUCUCAAAGAACUCAUAAACUGGAGAGGAGAUGUAUGCAAGAACAACAAGCUAGACCACAUUGUGAUAAGGACUUAUCUAAUGGUAUGAAGAAGUGGUGUAGCAGAGAGGAGAGAGCAAUUAAUCCUGGGGCAUGGACGGCCUUCAAGAGAAGAAAGUGAUAUUGCAGCUUGAUCAUAAAGGGUUAUGGGAAUUUUUCCAGGCUAAGAAGGAAAUGAAGGGUAUUCCAGGCAUGAACAAAAGCACAGAGAAUUGACAGCACAUAUUGUUUAGGGGAAGAGCAAAUUGCGGGAAAUUAGCUUAGAAUGGGGUAUGAUACCCAAAUAAUGAAAUAUGGAAGGUAGAAUGUUAAGGAGACAUCUCACCAAAUUAAAGCGCUGAACUUCACUAGGGUCACUGGAGGAGCCUUUGAAAAGUUUCAAUAGGAAACAGCCUAAUUGGAGCUGGGAUAGAACACAUUGGAGAAGGAGGAGACUGAACAGGGAGACCCAUCAGGAGUAUCAGUAAUUCAGGCUGAAGAUGCAGAAACAGCGGCAGGCCCUGAGCAGCAGGGAAAAAAAGGGAAAGUUGAGAGCCACGUGGGAAGUAAAAAGGACCCACUGGCAACUGAUUAGAUGUGAG